rnacentral:pre_miRNA from 1 species
AAUAAGUGCAGCCAUAGAUAUGCGUGUUGAGCGUUUUGACCAUCCGUCAUAUUUGAAAAAUUUAUGAAAAAUAUUUAAAAAAAUUAGUCACACAUAAAGUACUAUUCAUGUUUUAUCAUCUUUUUUCAAAUAAGACGAACGAUCAAACGUUGGAUAUGAACAGUGCUAAAACUGUACUUAUU